GACAGAGGGUGCAAACGUUGCUCGGAAUCACUGGGCGUAAAGGGCGUGUAGGCGGGGAAGUAAGUCGGGCGUGAAAUCCCUAGGCUCAACCUAGGAACUGCACUCGAAACUACUUCUCUUGAGUAUCGGAGAGGAGAGCGGAAUACCUGGUGUAGAGGUGAAAUUCGUAGAUAUCAGGUGGAACACCAGUGGCGAAGGCGGCUUUCUGGACGGUAACUGACGCUGAGACGCGAAAGCGUGGGGAGCAAACGGG
rnacentral:rRNA from 1 species